UACGUAGGGGGGCAAGCGUUGUCCGGAUUUAUUGGGCGUAAAGAGCGUGUAGGCGGCCAUACAGGUCAGCUGUGAAAACUCGAGGCUCAACCUCGAGACGUCGGUUGAAACCGUAUGGCUAGAGUCCGGAAGAGGAGAGUGGAAUUCCCGGUGUAGCGGUGAAAUGCGCAGAUAUCGGGAAGAACACCGGUGGCGAAGGCGGCCUGCUGGGCAGUUUUGCUGACACUGAGGCGCGACAGCGUGGGGGAGCAAACAGG
rnacentral:rRNA from 1 species